UCAUCAGCACCACCCAGAAACUGCUGCCUCUACUCAUCAGCUACAUAGCUCUAAGCAGGUUGCUGUACUUGUGCUCCACUGAUACAAAGCCAACACAGCUGGUGCAGCUACUGCACUGGGUAGAGCUGAUGGUCCUCCCCCUGGAGCCCUACCUUGUCUCCCCCAGCUCCCCUGAUCAACAGAGCCCUCUCCUGAAUGACUGCUGAAUUACUGACUGACAAGCUGCAUGGCAAGGAUGAAGUAUGAAUUUGGAAAUCUGAAAGGUAUCUUGAGGACCAAGAUCUUGUGGGGGAGAGAGCCCUCAGCUGGGUAUCCUGUGUCAGUAGGGCCUUCAAACCAAAGCUUCAGUUCUUAAUCUCAUAUGCUAUGACCUAUGCAGAAAAUAACCUGUGACAGGAAGAAAAAAUAAAAUAAAG
rnacentral:lncRNA from 1 species